rnacentral:rRNA from 1 species
UACGUAGGGUGCGAGCGUUAAUCGGAAUUACUGGGCGUAAAGCGUGCGCAGGCGGCUCUAUAAGACAGAUGUGAAAUCCCCGGGCUUAACCUGGGAACUGCGUUUGUGACUGUAGGGCUCGAGUGUGGCAGAGGGGGGUGGAAUUCCACGUGUAGCAGUGAAAUGCGUAGAGAUGUGGAGGAACACCGAUGGCGAAGGCAGCCCCCUGGGUCAACACUGACGCUCAUGCACGAAAGCGUGGGUAG